rnacentral:rRNA from 1 species
GGGGGAGUAUGGUCGCAAGGCUGAAACUUAAAGGAAUUGACGGAAGGGCACCACCAGGAGUGGAGCCUGCGGCUUAAUUUGACUCAACACGGGAAAACUUACCAGGUCCGGACAUAAGAAGGAUUGACAGAUUGAGAGCUCUUUCAUGAUUUUAUGGGUGGUGGUGCAUGGCCGUUCUUAGUUGGUGGAGUGAUUUGUCUGGUUGAUUCCGUUAACGAACGAGACCUCAGCCUGCUAAAUAGUUAUGCUAUUCUUGAAUAGCUUAGCUUCUUAGAGGGACUUUCCGGGUCU